CUGCCCUCAAGCACGGCUUGUGUGUUGGGCCCCCGUCCCCCGCCUCCCGGGGGACGGGCCCGAAAGGCAGCGGCGGCACCGCGUCCGGUCCUCGAGCGUAUGGGGCUCUGUCACCCGCUCUGUAGGCCCGGCCGGCGCCUGCCGACCACCAUCAAUCUUCUUUCA
rnacentral:misc_RNA from 1 species